rnacentral:rRNA from 1 species
AUUGAACGCUGGCGGCAGGCCUAACACAUGCAAGUCGAGCGGAUGAAGGGAGCUUGCUCCUGGAUUCAGCGGCGGACGGGUGAGUAAUGCCUAGGAAUCUGCCUGGUAGUGGGGGAUAACGUCCGGAAACGGGCGCUAAUUCCGCAUACGUCCUGAGGGAGAAAGUGGGGGAUCUUCGGACCUCACGCUAUCAGAUGAGCCUAGGUCGGAUUAGCUAGUUGGUGGGGUAAAGGCCUACCAAGGCGACGAUCCGUAACUGGUCUGCGAGGAUGAUCAGUCACACUGGAACUGAGACACGGUCCAGACUCCUACGGGAGGCAGCAGUGGGGAAUAUUGGACAAUGGGCGAAAGCCUGAUCCAGCCAUGCCGCGUGUGUGAAGAAGGUCUUCGGAUUGUAAAGCACUUUAAGUUGGGAGGAAGGGCAGUAAGUUAAUACCUUGCUGUUUUGACGUUACCAACAGAAUAAGCACCGGCUAACUUCGUG